ACUCACUCACCAACUCACUCACUCACCCACUCACUCACCCACUCACUCACUCACCCACUCACCCACUCACCCACUCACUCACUCACUCUACCACUCACUCAUCCUCGGUCACCCCAGGUAACAGAGUCGAGUCCUGGACAGACGGCAAGGGCCGUGACGGUGCGCGCGUGCGGGCGGCGCAUCAGCUGUUGAAUGUAAAGCCGCGCGAGGCCUUUUAACGCCUCGUACGCCUGUCAGCAGCAGCACGGGACCCCACAUUGUCCUGGGAACCAAUGCCAGGGGGCACGGGCACCUCCUUGACACCCACAGGAAGUGUGGAACAGAUGGAUAUUAGUCCACACUUUGCUCCCCCGCCUUCUCCUGCCGAGCCAGGGGGCACGGGCACCUCCUCCUCGACGCCUGACCAACGGGGAAAAUGAAAUCUCGAAACAUCUGUGCGGUGACCCACCAACCUUUGACGGAUUACAGGCCACGUGCAGAGUAGCCCCCGCCGCCCACGCUGGCGAUUAGCGGUGGGCUUCACUGCAAGGCCUCGCGGGGGCCACUGGCGGGUCUCUGGUGGCCAGUGGCGGGCUCCCUGGUGGCCAGUGGCGGGCUCCCUGGUGGCCUUGAGUGUGGCCCCUGACGUGCGCCCCCCCCCCCACCUGCGAUAGACAAACAGCGACAACACCACAUCAUCAUCCCCAUCAUCAUCCCCAUCAUCAUCAUCAUCAUCGUCGUCGUCGUGCUGCUGUCAAACCCCAGCAAUGGUUUCACAACGGUGUGGCGGUGCCCUGCUCACUCACACCCGAUGCUGUCUCGUCGGCAAGAGUUGCCCACCCCCAUCUCUGAAAACGAGUGAGGAACACUGCCUGGGCGAGGAUCUCGCGAGCUUCGACGGUUUUGAGGCUGGACACUUUAAGGCCUUAACAGGAGCUUUCCCCCAAAAAUAAUACUAAUAAUAACAGUGGCUGACAGCGGCACCCCCCCCCCCCCCCCGUGCAAACCUUUGCCACAGGUGCCGGUGGAAAGGCAGCGGAAUGCGGCCGUAGCGAGAUAACUUUUUUUUGUAUUUUGUGUACAGCCGUCGAAUGUGCGGUACAAGGGGGGGGGGGGGGUGGCUGCGUAACACGGUGGUGCGGAGCGGAGAAGUGCGGAGAGGUCAAGUGCGGAGAGGUCAAGUGUAGAGAGGUCAAGUGCGGAGAGGUCAAGUGUGGAGAGGUCAAGUGUGGAGAGGUGUGGAGAGGUCAAGUGUGGAGAGGUGCGGUGCGGAGAGGUCAAGUGUGGAGAGGUCAAUUGUGGAGAGGUCAAGUUCGGAGAGGUCAAGUGUGGAGAGGUCAAGUGUGGAGAGGUCAAGUGUGGAGAAGUGUGGAGACGUCAAGUGUGGAGAGGUGCGGUGCGGAGAAGUCAAGUGUGGAGAGGUCAAGUGCGGAGAGGUCAAGUGUGGAGAGGUCAAGUGCGGAGAAGUGUGGAGAGGUCAAGUGUGGAGAGGUCAAGUGCGGAGAAGUGUUGAGAGGUCAAGUGUGUAGAAGUGCGGAGAGUGAUGCGAGCCCGAUCGGGGCGGGUUUCUAUUUUCGCACGGACUACGCAGAAGCCGGCUUUGGAAUGAGUGGAGAUUGUUCAACGUCGCUGUUGGGGUGGACGGGUCGAUGGGUUUAGGUGGCGGUGACGUCCGUGUUGCUGUCUGGGAAGUGACUUGGAGGUGACAUGGAAGUCUGUGUUAGAUUGAACCAGAAAGGAAGUCGAGAUGCGAUGGGUGGUGGAUACACGUGGGCAGCGUGGAGGAGGAGGAGGAGGAGGUGGGGGUAGGUUACUGAGACAAGCAUCGGAGGAUCAACGACCAAAGGAAAGAGAAGACCUACGGCCAGACGCUGCUGCUGCUGCUGCUGGCUUUGGUGGUGGUGUUGGUGGUGCUGAUAGGACUGUGCAAGUGGUCCCUCGAAGGUUGUGGGCUAAUUGACGUUCCGGCAUCUCGCGAAAGGGGGGAAGCGAUUGCCGGUGGUGCGGUGGCACCAACAGCGAUGGCUGAUGAUGACCCCUUGACUUUGAUACUACCUACGUGUGUGUUUGUGUGUGUGUGCGUGUGUGUACUCUUGCGGCACUUCUUUGCAUUGCGAUAUCUGUUAAGCGUCUUUUGUUGUAGCAAUAACUAUCGCCGUUGAGAAUGAUAGCAAGCGAGGCCCACCGCGUCUCCGCAGAUGCCGUCGGCUAACCGUUAGUUUGUUAUUUAUUUCGUCACCUCUGGACGCCGUUGGCGCCACAUUCGUCUUCGCCACGUGGGUCUGGUGGUUUUAAACCCAGCCUCGGUUGUUGGACCAGUCCGACUUUUGCCGAUGAGACCCUGUAGGGUUGGUGACACCGAGGGUGCUUUUGCUUGCUCGCUUAAACAAACACUCCUGGACACAUUUUGCAAGAACAACAACAACAAUAACAAAAAGGCGACGAAUGACAGGCCCGGGUUAGACCGAGCACAUUUUCUCGUUGGAAAAGAUAUUUAUUGAAAUGUCGAAUUACCCUCACGUUUUCCUUUCUUUGGGUGGGGGGGAAAAAGUUAAAAUAAAUCUAAUAAUCCGAUAACAUCGACGAAUACAUCGGGCAAAUGUUCACAGGAGGCAGUGGGUGGGGUGGGGGGGGCUGGUGCGAUGAGGGCUAGAGGUCGGAAAAUCCAGUAGUAUAAUGUACCUUAUGUCAAAACAACAAGAUUAUUAUUCAGUAAAAUCUCCAAAAAAAGAUUCGUUGAAUCACAACGGACCGACCAGCUUCAAGGCCGCAGGAAUCCUCGGCAGGCUUUAGCAGCUCAACAGGACAUUUCACCGCUCUGCGUAACUUUGUUUUUUUGCGGUUGUGCCGUAUGCAGCCCUUUGGAUGACGUUUCGCUCUCCGCGCUACCUCGCAGCUUCUUUGGGAACUCUCGAUUUGUGAAGCUCCUCACUAAUUUUUAUUUUUUAUUUUAACCCAAAUAAGGCCCCCACCGAGCUAUAUAUUUGCAGGAACUCCUCUACUUAGGAAAAUUCGACUUACGAACUUUCAGAGAUACCAACAAAACCCGUCUGGUUGACCGUUCGGACCGAGAGUCGUAAGUUCAACCACCGCGAGUUAGACCGCGGUGGUGGCAUCUACAUUUGCAGAACGUGAAGAACCAGUGGCAUCUACACCUGCAGGAGCUAAUACAACUUUAAAAAGCUCAUUCCCCGUGUUUAGUGUACACGCCAUUACAACGUGUUUGAAAUGGACAGCAGUGAAGUUGGACUUACGAACAAAUCGACUUAUGAACAGACCUCUGGAACCUAACUCUCUUGAAAAUAGAGGAGUCCCCAUACAGCUCUUUUUUCAGAAGCAACCUGGCCAUCACAAAUGAUAUGAUGGUUUAACGGAAGCGGCUUAUCCCAUGGACAUUGAUGCGGGACAUUGUUGCAGUACGGUACAAGGGCGAAGCCACCAAUAAAAAAAAAAAUCUUCGUAACGGCCACAAUGGAAUGCUCCCGUUGCAGUCUGAAUCAGGAAUCAGAAUAUUUAUUCAUACUGGAGGAGGAAUCCGAUGAGCCAUGAAGCUAUUUUUUCACCGAUGUCCAGUUAGGGGCACGGGCUAUGAACGUUACACCAACAAACAGAAACAAAAAUACGGCAGUAGUGCAAAGUGCAAGAAAGGUCAACAGAUCACACAAA